rnacentral:rRNA from 2 species
ACCCUUUAAUGUUUGAUGUUCUAACGUGGAUCCGUAAUCCGGGUUGCGGACAGUGUCUGGUGGGUAGUUUGACUGGGGCGGUCUCCUCCUAAAGAGUAACGGAGGAGCACGAAGGUUGGCUAAUCCUGGUCGGACAUCAGGAGGUUAGUGCAAUGGCAUAAGCCAGCUUGACUGCGAGCGUGACGGCGCGAGCAGGUGCGAAAGCAGGUCAUAGUGAUCCGGUGGUUCUGAAUGGAAGGGCCAUCGCUCAACGGAUAAAAGGUACUCCGGGGAUAACAGGCUGAUACCGCCCAAGAGUUCAUAUCGACGGCGGUGUUUGGCACCUCGAUGUCGGCUCAUCACAUCCUGGGGCUGAAGUAGGUCCCAAGGGUAUGGCUGUUCGCCAUUUAAAGUGGUACGCGAGCUGGGUUUAGAACGUCGUGAGACAGUUCGGUCCCUAUCUGCCGUGGGCGCUGGAGAACUGAGGGGGGCUGCUCCUAGUACGAGAGGACCGGAGUGGACGCAUCACUGGUGUUCGGGUUGUCAUGCCAAUGGCACUGCCCGGUAGCUAAAUGCGGAAGAGAUAAGUGCUGAAAGCAUCUAAGCACGAAACUUGCCCCGA